GACGAACGCUGGCGGCGUGCCUAAUACAUGCAAGUCGAACGCAGUGGGGACGGGUGAGUAACACGUGGGUAACCUCCCAUCAGAGGGGAUAACACUUGGAAAAAGGUGCUAAACCGAUAUUGGUGGAUCGAGCCGCGGUGCAUUAGCUAGUUGGUGGGGUAACGGCUCACCAAGGCCACGAUGCAUAGCCGGCCUGAGAGGGUGAUCAGCCACACUGGGACUGAGACACGGCCCAGACUCCUACGGGAGGCAGCAGUAGGGAAUCUUCGGCAAUGGACGAAAGUCUGACCGAGCAAUGCCGCGUGAGUGAAGAAGGUUUUCGGAUCGUAAAACUCUUUUAUUAGAGAAGCGGUAUCUAACCAGAAAGCAACGGCUAACUACGUGCCAGCAGCCGCGGUAAUUC
rnacentral:rRNA from 1 species